rnacentral:rRNA from 1 species
CCUACGGGUGGCAGCAGUCGAGAAUCAUUCACAAUGGGGGAAACCCUGAUGGUGCGACGCCGCGUGGGGGAAUGCAGGUCUUCGGAUUGUAAACCUCUGUCAUGUGGGAGCAAAUUAAAAAGAUAGUACCACAAGAGGAAGAGACGGCUAACUCUGUGCCAGCAGCCGCGGUAAUACAGAGGUCUCAAGCGUUGUUCGGAAUCACUGGGCGUAAAGCGUGCGUAGGCUGUUUCGUAAGUCGUGUGUGAAAGGCGCGGGCUCAACCCGCGGACGGCACAUGAUACUGCGAGACUAGAGUAGUGGAGGGGGAACCGGAAUGCUCGGUGUAGCAGUGAAAUGCGUAGAUAUCGAGAGGAACACUCGUGGCGAAGGCGGGUUCCUGGACAUUAACUGACGCUGAGGCACGAAGGCCAGGGGAGCGAAAGGGAUUAGAUACCCGGGUAGUC